rnacentral:rRNA from 1 species
GUUAAGUCGACCGCCUGGGGAGUACGGCCGCAAGGUUAAAACUCAAAUGAAUUGACGGGGGCCCGCACAAGCGGUGGAGCAUGUGGUUUAAUUUGAUGCAACGCGAAGAACCUUACCUACUCUUGACAUCCAGAGAACUUAGCAGAGAUGCUUUGGUGCCUUCGGGAACUCUGAGACAGGUGCUGCAUGGCUGUCGUCAGCUCGUGUUGUGAAAUGUUGGGUUAAGUCCCGCAACGAGCGCAACCCUUAUCCUUUGUUGCCAGCGGUUCGGCCGGGAACUCAAAGGAGACUGCCAGUGAUAAACUGGAGGAAGGUGGGGAUGACGUCAAGUCAUCAUGGCCCUUACGAGUAGGGCUACACACGUGCUACAAUGGCAUAUACAAAGAGAAGCGACCUCGCGAGAGCAAGCGGACCUCACAAAGUAUGUCGUAGUCCGGAUCGGAGUCUGCAACUCGACUCCGUGAAGUCGGAAUCGCUAGUAAUCGUAGAUCAGAAUGCUACGGUGAAUACGUUCCCGGGCCUUGUACACACCGCCCGUCACACCAUGGGAGUGGGUUGCAAAAGAAGUAGGUAGCUAACCUUCGGGAGGGCGCUUACCACUUUGUGAUUCAUGACUGGGGUGAAGUCG